AGGACGAACGCUGGCGGCAUGCCUAAUACAUGCAAGUCGAGCGAACAUUUAGAAGAGCUUGCUUUUCUAAAUGUUAGCGGCGGAUGGGUGAGUAACACGUGGGCAACCUGCCCUACAGUUGGGGAUAACUCCGGGAAACCGGGCUAAUACCGAAUAAACAGUUUGUCCGCAUGGACAAACUCUGAAAGACGGUUUCGGCUGUCACUGUAGGAUGGGCCCGCGGCGCAUUAGCUAGUUGGUGGGAUAACGGCCUACCAAGGCAACGAUGCGUA
rnacentral:rRNA from 1 species